rnacentral:misc_RNA from 1 species
CAAUUUUCGGAGAUGUGUGUUGUCAACCCACAACUGCCCUCUCCAUUAAUACUCUUGCUAGAAGCUUCCUCUAACUGUUGAAUACCGCCGCCAUUAUGCCAUUCUUCAGAAAAAGCUUCUGUAGGUGGCACAAGGCUGUAGAUCUGAAUUUUCUUCCCUUUUUCAUUUUUUGUUUGAGAAAAGGUUUCUUGUAUAGAAAACAGAGUUGAUUUGUUGGCUGCCAAAUCCUGAGUGCCUGACACAGGUUAGACAGGUUUAUCUUUGUAAUUAAUG